rnacentral:rRNA from 1 species
GGACUACCCGGGUAUCUAAUCCUGUUUGCUACCCACGCUUUCGUAGUUGAGUGUCAGUUGCUGUCCAGUCCGCCGCCUUCGCCUCUGGUAUUCCUCCCGAUCUCUACGCAUUUCACCGCUACACCGGGAAUUCUGCGGACCUCUCCAGCACUCUAGUAAUAAAGUUUCCAAGGCACGUCCUGAGUUGAGCUCAGGGAUUUCACCCCAGACUUUUAUUACCACCUACCUACCCUUUACGCCCAAUAAUUCCGAGCAACGCUUGCACCCUUCGUAUUACCGCGGCGGCUGGCAC